CGGGUGCGUAACACGUGAGCAAUCUGCCGGGAAGUGGGGGAUAGCUCGCCGAAAGGCGAAUUAAUACCGCAUAUGGCCAGAAGGGACAUCUCUUCAACGCCAAAGUCGCAAGACGCUUCCUGAUGAGCUCGCGGCCUAUCAGCUUGUUGGUGAGGUAACGGCUCACCAAGGCUAUGACGGGUAGCUGGUCUGAGAGGACGACCAGCCACACUGGAACUGAGACACGGUCCAGACACCUACGGGUGGCAGCAGUCGAGAAUUUUUCACAAUGGGGGAAACCCUGAUGGAGCGACGCCGCGUGGAGGAUGAAGGUCUUCGGAUUGUAAACUCCUGUCAUGCGAGAACAAGAAAGUGAUAGUAUCGCAAGAGGAAGAGACGGCUAACUCUGUGCCAGCAGCCGCGGUAAUACAGAGGUCUCAAGCGUUGUUCGGAUUCAUUGGGCGUAAAGGGUGCGUAGGCGGCGUGGUAAGUUGAGUGUGAAAUCCUAGGGCUUAACCUUAGAACUGCACUCAAUACUGCCAUGCUAGAGGAAUGUAGAGGAGAGUGGAAUUCACGGUGUAGCAGUGAAAUGCGUAGAUAUCGUGAGGAAGACCAGUUGCGAAGGCGACUCUCUGGGCAUCUCCUGACGCUGAGGCACGAAGGCUAGGGGAGCAAACGGGAUUAGAUACCCCGGUAGUCCUAGCAGUAAACGGUGCACGUUUGGUGUGGGCGGGUUCAGACCCCGUCCGUGCCGGAGCUAACGCGUUAAACGUGCCGCCUGGGAAGUACGGUCGCAAGAUUAAAACUCAAAGAAAUUGACGGGGGCCCGCACAAGCGGUGGAGUAUGUGGCUUAAUUCGAUGCAACGCGAAGAACCUUACC
rnacentral:rRNA from 1 species